rnacentral:rRNA from 1 species
AACGAACGCUGGCGGCAUGCCUAACACAUGCAAGUCGAACGAGACCUUCGGGUCUAGUGGCGCACGGGUGCGUACCGCGUGGGAACCUGCCCUUAGGUUAGGAAUAACUCCCCGAAAGGGGUGCUAAUACCGGUUAAUGUCAUAGGACCAAAGAUUUAUCGCCUUUGGGUGGGCCCGCGUUGGAUUCGCUAGUUGGUAGGGUAAAAGCCUACCAAGGCGACGAUGCAUAGCUGGUCUGAGAGGAUGAUCAGCAACGCUGGGACUGAGACACGGCCCAGACUCCGACGGGAGGCAGCAGUGGGGAAUAUUGUACAAUGGGCGAAAGUCUGAUCCAGCAACGCCGCGGGAGUGAGGAAGGCCUUAGGGUUGUAAAGCUCUUUUACCCGGGAUGAGAAUGACAGUACCGGGAGAAGAAGCUCCGGCUAACUACGUG